rnacentral:piRNA from 1 species
UGAAAUGCUGUGCAGGGGGCUCUCUCUUU